GACGAACGCUGGCGGCGUGCUUAACACAUGCAAGUCGAACGGAAAGGCCCUGCUUUUGUGGGGUGCUCGAGUGGCGAACGGGUGAGUAACACGUGAGUAACCUGCCCUUGACUUUGGGAUAACUUCAGGAAACUGGGGCUAAUACCGGAUAGGAGCUCCUGCUGCAUGGUGGGGGUUGGAAAGUUUCGGCGGUUGGGGAUGGACUCGCGGCUUAUCAGCUUGUUGGUGGGUUAGUGGCUUACCAAGGCUUUGACGGGUAGCCGGCCUGAGAGGAUGACCGGCCACAUUGGGACUGAGAUACCGCCCAGACUCCUACGGGAGGCAGCAGGGGGGAAUAUUGCACAAUGGGCGGAAGCCUGAUGCAGCAACGCCGCGUGCGGGAUGACGGCCUUCGGGUUGUAAACCGCUUUCGCCUGGGACGAAGCGGGAGGGACGGUAAUGGGUAAAGAAGCACCGGCUAACUACGUG
rnacentral:rRNA from 1 species